AAGAGCCGUGUAACGGGAGACUGUUAAGCACGGUUCUGUGGGAGCCCCGGGGUGCGAUCCCCCGGGGCCACCCGGC
rfam:Mycobacterium kansasii strain 1010001458 NODE_93_length_15547_cov_39.8473_ID_4599, whole genome shotgun sequence.